GACGAACGCUGGCGGCGUGCCUAAUACAUGCAAGUCGAGCGGACGAAUCGGAAGCUUGCUUUUGAUUCGUUAGCGGCGGACGGGUGAGUAACACGUGGGCAACCUGCCCUGUAGACGGGGAUAACACCGAGAAAUCGGUGCUAAUACCGGAUAACACGAAAUGUCGCAUGACGUUUCGUUGAAAGACGGCGCAAGCUGUCGCUACAGGAUGGGCCCGCGGCGCAUUAGCUAGUUGGUGAGGUAACGGCUCACCAAGGCGACGAUGCGUAGCCGACCUGAGAGGGUGAUCGGCCACACUGGGACUGAGACACGGCCCAGACUCCUACGGGAGGCAGCAGUAGGGAAUCUUCCGCAAUGGACGAAAGUCUGACGGAGCAACGCCGCGUGAGCGAAGAAGGCCUUCGGGUCGUAAAGCUCUGUUGUUAGGGAAGAACAAGUAACGCAGUAACUGGCGUUACCGUGACGGUACCUAACGAGAAAGCCACGGCUAACUACGUG
rnacentral:rRNA from 1 species